rnacentral:rRNA from 1 species
GACGAACGCUGGCGGCGUGCUUAACACAUGCAAGUCGAACGGAAAGGCCCUGCUUUUGUGGGGUGCUCGAGUGGCGAACGGGUGAGUAACACGUGAGUAACCUGCCCUUGACUUUGGGAUAACUUCAGGAAACUGGGGCUAAUACCGGAUAGGAGCUCCUGCUGCAUGGUGGGGGUUGGAAAGUUUCGGCGGUUGGGGAUGGACUCGCGGCUUAUCAGCUUGUUGGUGGGGUAGUGGCUUACCAAGGCUUUGACGGGUAGCCGGCCUGAGAGGGUGACCGGCCACAUUGGGACUGAGAUACGGCCCAGACUCCUACGGGAGGCAGCAGUGGGGAAUAUUGCACAAUGGGCGGAAGCCUGAUGCAGCAACGCCGCGUGCGGGAUGACGGCCUUCGUGUUGUAAACCGCUUUCGCCUGUGACGAAGCGUGAGUGACGGUAAUGGGUAGAGAAGCACCGGCUAACUACGUG